UCUUAUGGACGAACAGCAAAAGUGGUUUCUUGAGAUGGAAUCUACUCCUGGUGAAGAUGCUGUGAA
rnacentral:pre_miRNA from 1 species